UACGUAGGGGCCGAGCGUUGUCCGGAGUUAUUGGGCGUAAAGCGCGCGCAGGCGGCCUCGCGCGCCCGACGUGAAAGCCCCCGGCUUAACCGGGGAGGGUCGUUGGGGACGGCGGGGCUUGAGGGCGGGAGAGGGUGGUGGAAUUCCCGGUGUAGUGGUGAAAUGCGUAGAGAUCGGGAGGAACACCCGUGGCGAAGGCCGCCACCUGGGCCGACCCUGACGCUGAGGCGCGAAGGCGUGGGGAGCGAACGGG
rnacentral:rRNA from 1 species